rnacentral:tRNA from 1 species
GCCUCUUUAGCACAGUGGUAGUGCAGCUGCUUCGUACGCAGCAGGUCGUCCGUUCGAAUCGGACAAGGGGCUCCA